UGCAAGUCGAACGGUGAAAGAGGAGCUUGCUCUUCUGGAUCAGUGGCGAACGGGUGAGUAACACGUGAGUAACCUGCCCUUGACUCUGGGAUAAGCGUUGGAAACGACGUCUAAUACCGGAUACGACCCUCAACCGCAUGGUUAGGGGGUGGAAAGAUUUUUUGGUCAAGGAUGGACUCGCGGCCUAUCAGCUUGUUGGUGAGGUAAUGGCUCACCAAGGCGACGACGGGUAGCCGGCCUGAGAGGGUGACCGGCCACACUGGGACUGAGACACGGCCCAGACUCCUACGGGAGGCAGCAGUGGGGAAUAUUGCACAAUGGGCGCAAGCCUGAUGCAGCAACGCCGCGUGAGGGAUGACGGCCUUCGGGUUGUAAACCUCUUUUAGUAGGGAAGAAGCGAAAGUGACGGUACCUGCAGAAAAAGCACCGGCUAACUACGUGCCAGCAGCCGCGGUAAUACGUAGGGUGCAAGCGUUGUCCGGAAUUAUUGGGCGUAAAGAGCUCGUAGGCGGUUUGUCGCGUCUGCUGUGAAAACUGGAGGCUCAACCUCCAGCCUGCAGUGGGUACGGGCAGACUAGAGUGCGGUAGGGGAGAUUGGAAUUCCUGGUGUAGCGGUGGAAUGCGCAGAUAUCAGGAGGAACACCGAUGGCGAAGGCAGAUCUCUGGGCCGUAACUGACGCUGAGGAGCGAAAGCGUGGGGAGCGAACAGGAUUAGAUACCCUGGUAGUCCACGCCGUAAACGUUGGGAACUAGAUGUGGGGGCCAUUCCACGGUCUCCGUGUCGCAGCUAACGCAUUAAGUUCCCCGCCUGGGGAGUACGGCCGCAAGGCUAAAACUCAAAGGAAUUGACGGGGGCCCGCACAAGCGGCGGAGCAUGCGGAUUAAUUCGAUGCAACGCGAAGAACCUUACCAAGGCUUGACAUAUACGAGAACGGGCCAGAAAUGGUCAACUCUUUGGACACUCGUAAACAGGUGGUGCAUGG
rnacentral:rRNA from 1 species